CCCUUCUCAAGGUCGCACCUGGAGAGUUUCCAGUACUCUACCAGUCUUGGCUACCAGAAGGAGAGUCAAGCAGAGGCCUACCCAUUCCAUUCCAAGCUUGGGCAGUGGCUAGGGAGUGGAAGGUAAUCUGCUACAAGC